UAGCUAGUUGGUAGGGUAAAGGCCUACCAAGGCGACGAUCGGUAGCUGGUCUGAGAGGAUGGCCAGCCACACUGGAACUGAGACACGGUCCAGACUCCUACGGGAGGCAGCAGUGGGGAAUAUUGGACAAUGGGGGCAACCCUGAUCCAGCAAUGCCGCGUGUGUGAAGAAGGCCUGAGGGUUGUAAAGCACUUUCAGUGGGGAGGAGGGUUGAUAGGUUAAGAGCUGAUUAACUGGACGUUACCCACAGAAGAAGCACCGGCUAACUCCGUGCCAGCAGCCGCGGUAAUACGGAGGGUGCGAGCGUUAAUCGGAAUUACUGGGCGUAAAGGGUGCGUAGGUGGUUGAUUAAGUUAUCUGUGAAAUCCCUGGGCUCAACCUGGGCAGGUCAGAUAAGACUGGUUAACUCGAGUAUGGGAGAGGGUAGUGGAAUUUCCGGUGUAGCGGUGAAAUGCGUAGAGAUCGGAAGGAACACCAGUGGCGAAGGCGGCUACCUGGCCUAAUACUGACACUGAGGCACGAAAGCGUGGGGAGCAAACAGGAUUAGAUACCCUGGUAGUCCACGCUGUAAACGAUGUCAACUAGCUGUUGGUUAUAUGAAUAUAAUUAGUGGCGC
rnacentral:rRNA from 1 species